GUUAAGUCAGGCAACGAGCGAGACCCACGCCAACAGUUGCCAGCUCGUCCUCCGGGAUGGUGGGGACACUGUUGGGACCGCCUCUGCUAAAGAGGAGGAAGGAAUGGGCAACGGUAGGUCAGCAUGCCCCGAAUUAUCUGGGCUACACGCGGGCUACAAUGGGUGGGACAAUGGGUAUCGACACCGAAAGGUGAAGGGCAAUCUCCUAAACCCAUCCGUAGUUCGGAUUGUGGGCUGCAACUCGCCCACAUGAAGCUGGAAUCUGUAGUAAUCGUGUCUCAAAAUGGCACGGUGAAUAUGUCCCUGCUCCUU
rnacentral:rRNA from 1 species